rnacentral:rRNA from 1 species
GAUGAACGCUGGCGGCGUGCCUAAUACAUGCAAGUCGAGCGAACGGACGAGAAGCUUGCUUUUCUGACGUUAGCGGCGGACGGGUGAGUAACACGUGGAUAACCUACCUAUAAGACUGGGAUAACUUCGGGAAACCGGAGCUAAUACCGGAUAAUAUUUUGAACCGCAUGGUUCAAAAGUGAAAGACGGUCUUGCUGUCACUUAUAGAUGGGUCCGCGCUGCAUUAGCUAGUUGGUAAGGUAACGGCUUACCAAGGCAACGAUGCAUAGCCGACCUGAGAGGGUGAUCGGCCACACUGGAACUGAGACACGGUCCAGACUCCUACGGGAGGCAGCAGUAGGGAAUCUUCCGCAAUGGGCGAAAGCCUGACGGAGCAACGCCGCGUGAGUGAUGAAGGUCUUCGGAUCGUAAAACUCUGUUAUUAGGGAAGAACAAAUGUGUAAGUAACUGUGCACAUCUUGACGGUACCUAAUCAGAAAGCCACGGCUAGCUACGUG